rnacentral:misc_RNA from 1 species
UUCUCUCUCUCUCUCUCUCUAAAUAAUAUUAGCUACAAAGAUUGACUGUUGGAUAUUUGAAGGAACAUUUUGAGAAUGCAUUAGUUGUGUCAUAUCUUGCUUUAUUCGGAGUGUUUAAGCAUUUGAAGUAAUUUCAUAGAUAGAAACUUCGGUGUAAAGAAUGCCAGAGAUCACUGUCUCAUAUGCUGGGAGCUUUAUAAGCAGUUAGGGAAAUGGGUGUGUGCUCAACUCAUUUCGCUGCUGCAUUUAGAUUACAUUAAUGCCUUCAUUGCUUUAUUUAAAUGUAUAAUUUCUGUCUGAAUGUAACUGUUACUGGAUUUCACAAGUACAGGUGGGAUGAAGGUUAAAGCU